CUGCAUUUAUUCAUUCCAAAGGCUCCAACAUGAAAGGGAUUCACAAAAAGACAGCAGAGCUAAAUGCAGUAUGGCGUCCUGGAUGAGAUACAAGCACAAAAGAAAGACAAUAAUGGAUAUGCUGGUGAAAUCCAAACAAAUCAAGGAGCUUUAUUAAACAGUAAUGUACCAAUGUUGAUUUCUUAGUUUUGACAAAUGUACCAUGGGCAUGUGACAUAACAGAAUUCUCUGCAUUAUCUUUGCAAAUAUUUUUUCUUCUUUCAUUAUGUAUACAUAAUAGUUGUACAUAUUUAUGGAGUACAUAUGAUAUUUUGAUACAAGCAUACUAUGUGGAAGGAUCAAAUCAGAGUAACUGGGAUAUCCAUCAUCUCAUGCAUUUAUCAUAGUGUCUCUGCAUAUUUUCUAUAAAUCUAAAGGUACUCCAUAUUUAAAUGUGGUAAAAAAAAUUUAAAAACCUUAAUAUUCAUGAGCAUGAGAGUGCAACUCAGAUGGAUCGCAGUUUGAUCUGUGGACCUGUAUUAUGGGCUGGCUCAGCCCUCACCAGCUCUGUGGCCUCAAGUUCUUCAUCUUUUAAGUGGAAAUGAUAGUACUCCCUGCCUCACAGAAUAGUCAUGAAGAUUUAAUGAGUUAGAAUACAAAAAGUGUUCAAAACUAUGCUUAAUACCUAACAAGGACCUGUUGAGUGAUGCCUAUUACCCAGCAAGUCAGCCUCAGUUUCUUCCUGUGUAAAAUGGGGACAAUAAAAGCACCAACUCACCAGUGUGCUGGGAUGAUCAAAUGAAAUGAUGUGAGUAAACAGCGAGCACAGAGUCUGUUCAUAGAGCACUUUAAAUAGAAUUUGGCACAGACUAAGCAUGCAAUAAAUGGUAGCUAUAAGUACAAUCAUUAAUACUAAUAAAAACUGAUGGGUGACCUGGCCAGUUCUAGCUUCAAAGUAGCAAGGAUCUCAGGUUUGACUUCAUUAGCUCCUUGCAGGCCACUGCCUGGCAUGCAUAUCUAAAAAGGGAAGGACGAAUACACCAUGGGGCCUGUAUAACCUCCACCCUUUCUUUUUUCCAGGAUAUAAGAAGUAUCCCAAUUUCAGGGCUCAGGUUUUGACUGACCAAAAACAUAAUCCAAGCUGACUUCGAAAAGGAGGGUUGCCAUUGACUUGUGAAACACCCAGGGAAGGCUGACUCCAGGGAUGCAAAGAUGCUGCCAGGAUCCAUCUUGCUCCACCUCCUAGCUGGGCUCUCCUCCAGGAUGGCUUCAUCCUCAAGAUUUCCACAGUGGAAAAAUACCUGCCAAAAGCUCUAAGAGGUAGAUCCUCAGUGGCUCAAAUCCAGAAGGGGAACCUGUUUUCCCUGAAUUUGAAUCAAAGUCCAGAGCUCCGUCUCAAUGGCCCAGCAGGGAUCCUGUCUGUCUCAGACCAAUCACAGUGUUCAGGGAGAUGGGAUCACCGACUGACUUGGUUUGACCCACGUGCCCAUUUCUGGUACUGACAGUGAGGUCAACUCCAUUCAAACUAAAUGGACUGAAAAUAUGGAGGGGUGUUUUGCCAAAAGAAAUUUGAGAUAUUGCUGCCAAACUAAGAGGUAUGGGAAGCUGUGUGGCUCUAAACCAGCGUAUGUUCACUAUAAUCAUGUGGAUUUUGUAAUUGAUGAUCACAGUUGGCUGAGCAGAUGUAGAAACUCAGGAAGAGAAGCAUUAGCCAUCCUGCUGCUGGUCCUCUCCAGGUAGACUGCAGAAUCCAGCGGCCUUCAGAGUCAGGCAUGCACAUGUACAGACCUCCCUGGCUCUUUUGAGGGACACAACUUUGAUUCAAUUCAACAUGUAUUUAUUAAGCAAUUAUUACAUGCCAGGCACUGCACAUGUCCCUGAUUAUAAAUCAUGUGCACUUUAUUAAAAGAAACAAUAGAGUCCAUGGUGAGCCCCUGGAAUUUUUAGAACAGUUUUAUUGAGGUUUCACCUCCAUACCAUAAAACUCGCCCAUUUUAAGUAUUAAAUUCAAUAAUUUUAAUAGAUUUAUAGUUGUGCAGCCAUCACCAGGAUUCAGUUUCAGAACAUUCUCAUCACCCAAAAACUCAUCAUCAUGCCCAUUUCAAUUAAUCUGCAUUCACACUCCCAAAUCCAACCAACUCCUCAUCUCUAUUCUGCCUUUAUAGAUUUGCCUUUUCUGGACAUUUCUUAUAAAUGGAAUCAUAUUUUUGUAUGUGCUUGGUUUCUUUCAUUUGCAUUUCUGUUUAAGAUUCAUCCUAUAAAUUCUUUGUAGCAGAUAUCAGCAUUUUUCUUUUUAUGACUGAAUAGUAUUCUACUGUAUGGCUGUACUGUAUUUAUUUAUUCAUCAGUUGAUGGAUGUUUAUAUCAUUUACACUUUUGGGGCAUUAUGAAUAAUAUUGCCAUGAACAUUUACAUACAAGUCUUUGUGUGUAUAUGUUUUCAUUUCUGUUGGGUAGUUAUCUAGGAGUGGAAUUUCCAGGUCAUAUGGUAAACAUUCGUAAGUCUUACUGAAUAAAAAUUAAAAUUUUUAUUGCCUGCCCAACUUUCCCAAAAAUUUAAAUUAAGCCUUCACUCCAAGCAAAUCAUAUUCUUGGUAUUAUAUACAUCACCUUAAUAAAGGUUAGAAUCUUUAUGGACCAGCCUUUCAACAAAGUUAAACAAAAGUAGCACAGCGCUGAAUGGCAACCAAAGGUGAUCACAUAAGUAGUCUGAUCUUUACUUGCAUCCCUUGAGGAAAACUUGUGGUAAACUAAGUUAUAUCCCAACACUUUAUAGAAUCUUCUUCCCUUUUAUUUCUAAUUUUUCUAACCUCCCCUACAAAAGAUGAACACUCUCUUCGCUCACACAUGCAGCAUCUCAUCUGUUUCCUCCUCUUUCUUCUUCUCCAGUCCUUUAUUGUGUCCUCUAUAGAGCUUCUCUGACUUGUCCGUGUGAAAGGCACUGUGUGCAGAAACCAGGGACAUGCCUCUAGGUCUUCAACACCAAAACUUGCUUUCAGAAAAAUAAUUGCUCAACCAGUCAUCCCAUUGAAAAAAUAUUUGUAAGCCAGUUUCUUUCACAGCUUAGAGGGAAUUUAGCUUUAGUGUCUUUGUCUAUAACUGAGUCAUGAUACCAGUGGGUCAGUCCAGAUAGACUAGAUUCUAA
rnacentral:lncRNA from 1 species